rnacentral:misc_RNA from 1 species
GUUUCGGAAGCAUUGUCGGACUCGGCAUUUACAGGAGCAGCUCCACUCUUAUAACCAGCCAUGGCUUCCUUGUAACGUACCUGAUCAGUCCGAGCCAUUGACUCAAAGGGCUCUUUCUCCUCAGCUGACAUCUUCUUCCAGCGUUCCCCAAGUGCUCUUGCAACAUCAGUAAAUGCAAUUCCAGGGUUUUCUUUCUUCAGAUUCUCUCUUUCAGAAUUAGAGAAAAACAUGAAACCAGACAUGGCCCUCUUUGGUGCAUUAGG